rnacentral:lncRNA from 1 species
AGGUGUGUGCACACAUAUAGAGGGUUCUAGUUUCUGGCAUGAAGGCGUCUGGCCCAAGCUUUCUCUCUACCGCCCAUCAAAGGGGAGCACAGGUGAGGGCUUGUGGGGACGGGGCCUAGCACCGGCCUGGUCCCACGGGCCUUGACUCCUCCACACUGGCUCAAGCCCGGUCUGAGGAACAGACUGCGCAUGCGCAAAUCCAAAGGCUCCCGGCAGCCUCCAGGGGCGACUGGUGGGAUGCAGAUGCCCGUGCGCGAGUGCCAAGCAACAAGAUCUCAGUGACAGAGAGAAUUCCACAUGAAUGGUUUACGAUGUUGGUGAAAUGUUCUCUAUGA